AAGGUUCUGACCGCCCCCCCCUUGGAAGAAAAGGAAGCCCCAAGAAGAGGAAGCCCAGACUGCAUGCACGCUGGCUGAGCUCGGGAGGUCGCCAAGAACUAAAGCAGAGAAGUUGCAGGUUGGGCUUAAUCAACAACAAAUAUUUUUGGAUUGGACUAUGCCUGAAUUGCAGUCUCCAAGGAGCCACAAACUCCCUUUCUGUCCAGAUGAGGAGUACAUCAGGGUCUGACAGAGGACACAGCAGGGUGGAUGCUGAGGACACCACAUCCUGCAACGUGGGUAAGGAAACUGAGGUCAAGAGAAGGGGGAUGCCCUGCUGAGGUCAUACAGCGACAUAGCCUCAGAACGAGGAUCCGUUCGUUCAUUCAUUUCAUUAACGAGCACUGACUGAAAACCCACUAAGGGCCGAGCUCUAGGCAGGGCCCUGGGAAUACAGCGAGGGGAAAAGGACCCAGUCCUUGCCUUCACAGAGCUUGUUUAGUGAAGGAGACAGAAGUUAAUUAUAUAGUCACACAAAAUGUAAUAACAUUACACCUGGUUUUACAAAGCAUAGUAAUAUGUGCAAAUUGUGUUAACUGUGAUCCACGUCCUGUUCUAACCUUUAUCAACUCACUUGACCCUUACAGUGACCCUAUAAAAUAGUAGUGUCAUUAUCUCCAUGUUUCAGAUGAGGAAGUCAAGGCACAAAGCUAAUCAGAGGCAGAGCUGGAAUUUGAACUCAGGGAACAACAUUAUGGUUGACUAUUUUUUCCCCCUCUUUGGCCCAAGAUGCUAUCCUAAGAUGCUAGGAGUACCCUAGGCUAACUUUGUAUCACCCACUGUCCCUGGGCUGGUUUGGGCUGAGCAGUUGGAGAUCCUGUGAGAGGAUUGGCUGACAAAGCUGGGUCAGAGCAAUUCAAAUGAGGAACAAGGAACAGCUUUCUGGUUCAUUCUAAGUAUACUCUCAGCCGUAGAGCUUCUGGAGGAUGAAACAGUAUUUGAGCUUUAGGGCCCAGUGCACAUUUAGGGUAGAGAUUCCAUAAGCAUGUAUUAAAUGACGCUCAAAUAUUUUAUAGCUGUGUAUCUGGUCUGGUGUGUUUUCUCUUUUGGGUCAGGAGUGGGAAUGGGGAGCCUGGGAAGUAACAUUGAUACUAUCCCUUGUUCACUACUUUUGAUUCAGAACAAGUGUUGUGUAGUAGCAAAAAGGGUCUACAAUGAUUCCAACCUUCCAGGGUGAAAUCUCAUGCAUCUGGACGCAUGGAUUCCCAGGUUUUGAGAAUUCAAGCAGGGCUGAGUGGGUUACCUGGGUAUUCCAGGAAGAAAGCAAGGGUCGUGUGACCAAGCCGUAUGAACGAGGGCAUGCACGUAUUCUGUGUCGAAACUCAAAUGAGUUAAAAUUAUUGUAAGCAUGUAAAUGCUGGAACACGUAUUGCUACUGCCCUCCACAGACGUGCGGAUCGGUUCUUGAAGGCAGACCCAGAGGCAUUCAUUUGCAGAAGUGACUGCAGGCGCCCUGGUGCAGAUGACCAAGUAGGCGUCUUGGACCCUAUUGUACAAUUGUGAUUUUUCUUCAAUGCAGACUACUUAUUUCCCCAGUGAGUCUGAUGUCAUGAAGUGUGAUAUUCAUUAGUCAGAAUUGGGACAACUUGACCUCUGCUCUGGACAACUAAAACUAAUUAGCCCUGCAAUGAAUUCUUUCCUGUGUGCUCAACCUUAAA